GCGCUACACACAAAGGUUUCAAAAUGGCAGAACACAUGGAGCAGACUUCAGUAACCACCACCUCCGAGUCGGAAUGCUCUACCAAGCCCAAGGAGACCCCUGGCUCAGUCCCUGUAGAGGAGAUGACCUCAAAGGACUACUACUUUGAUUCCUACGGACAUUUUGGAAUUCACGAGGAAAUGUUAAAAGAUGAGGUGAGGACUCUAACCUACAGGAACUCCAUGAUUUACAACAAGCACCUGUUCCGGGGGAAGGUGGUGUUGGACGUCGGAUGUGGAACAGGGAUCCUCUCCAUGUUCGCAGCUAAAGCUGGAGCUGCUAAAGUCAUAGGGAUUGAAUGUUCCAGCAUCAUAGAGUACGGCCAGAAAAUAGUAGCAGAGAAUAAUUACAGCAAUGUCGUGACUCUUGUGAAGGGGAAGGUGGAGGAAGUUGAGCUCCCUGACGGAACGACUACGUCCAUGCACUUAUCACAUUCUUCAACAUAGAAUUCACCAAGUGCCACAAAAGGACUGGAUUCUCUACAGCCCCAGAGGCCCCCUACACCCACUGGAAACAGACUGUGUUUUACUUUGACCAGUUGGACUUGACAGUGAAGAAGGGAGAGGAAAUCCAAGGCUCAGUGAAUGUCAAACCCAACAAAAGCAACAAGCGUGAUCUAGACUUUACCAUUGAGGUCGACUUUAAGGGAGAACUCUCAGAAAUGAAAGAGACCAUGCAAUACAAAAUGCGCUAAUAAGAUGGUGGGGAAUUCCCGUGGUAACCACUCUUGAGCUCCCUCUCAUGAGAGGAAAGGCCCAGAGCCCAGACAACACAACUUUUUAACAGACUGCCGCCUGUAUAAUGCUGUAGGCGUUAUGUUCUGUGAUUAUUUGUUUGUGAACUAUAAUGUUUUAUCUGAAUCAAAUGAUUCAGUAUGUAUAAUUGAUCAAACCAAUGUAUAACAAAUUUUAGAAUAACAAUUUAGAAAUGUUCAGUCAGUGCAUGGACCAAAUUUUUUUUUUUUGUGCAUAUGUUAAUCUGUACUGACUGCAUUUUUUUUGGUUUUUAUCAAAUUUUGCCUCUUGUAUAUUACAUCUUAACAUAAUUUC
rnacentral:misc_RNA from 1 species